rnacentral:lncRNA from 1 species
AGCUGACGAAGAGCUGACUCAAACACCUCCGGACGUGACUUUUUAGCUGUGCCAACAACGACAAAAUACUGAGGAAGGGUUUGCAUCCGCCCCCGCUCUCUCCACUGCCCUUCCUAGUCAAGGCAUGGGGGGCCUGAAACAACUCCAGAUUGAGGACAAGACGAAGGCUGAGCAGGGCUCAGCCUCUCACACAGACCUGACAGGCUCCUCUCAUCACCAAGAAAUUUUCUCUGCAUACUUCAUUGUGCUCUUACCAACAAAGUCCUCGCCUCCCAUCCAGAAGAGCCCUCUUUCUUCGGAGCUCAGGAAGAAGCUUCUGCAUCUCCUAAGAUUGAUUGAAGAAUAGGUUUAAUGGCUUAGGCUUUAGAGUUAGGGAUGUAGGAUAUAGUAUAGGGAUAGUAGUGUAGUAUAGGGAUAUAGUAUAGUAGGGAUGAAGUGUUCUUAUAUUAUAAUGUACAUUUGAGGAUACAUUUUGAUUGUAGUUUUUAAAUAGUGAUGACAUAUUUUAAUUCUUUAUAUAUAUUUUUGUAGAUACAGUGGGGUUUUUUAAUGUUAUGUAAGUUAAAUUUUUAAAAAAACAAGCAUAGAAUGUGAGACUAGGACCUGCUAGGUUAGAGGAGAUGUGCUGAGGUUAUCAGAGUACAGCUCACUUGAUGUCCCAGUGACUCACCACGUCCUUUCCUCGCUGGGCCUCUCACCUUUGAGACUGGCUCUGAGAGCAAUGGGGGGUAGAAGAAGCACGCAGCUUGUGUUGAAAGAAAACUCACCCCCCCUGCAUCCUGCUCCUGGAUUGUGCUCUCUGCAGCACGGAGAGACAGCGGGACAGAGCUUCUCUUUGGCUUUUAGUUAGUUUUAGUUAGCUGAGGCAGAGGAGUUCCCUGGACCUUUUUUUCUUUUUCUCCUGGAUCUGUGCAAAUCUGCUUUGGACUGAAAAACACCCAGACAAACCCCAGGAGCUCAAGCCCUUGGCCCACCGGGGCCUGGGCCUCAGCACUAUCCAUCACCAAAAGGACUGAGAAGAACCUGAGCAAUCCGAACUACACCACAUGGAAAAGGACUUUUCUUCCUAGAUUCGCCAUCCCAUCGAACAACGAGACGUUUUAUUGUUUAAUAUUAUUCAAUUUCUGUUAAAUAAACAGCUUUUUCCACUUCUCUCCA